ACCCAAUCCCGAUUCGGGGAGGUAGUGACAAUAAAUAACAAUACAGGGCCAACGGUCUUGUUAUUGGAAUGAGAACAAUUUAAAUAACUUAACGAGGAUCAAUUAGAGGGCAAGUCUGGUGCCAGCAGCCGCGGUAAUUCCAGCUCUAAUAGCGUAUAUUAAAGUUGUUGCAGUUAAAAAGCUCGUAGUCGGAUGUCGGGCUCGGGCAAGCUGUCGGCCUUUGGUCGGACGGCAGGCUCGGGUCUUUCUGCCUGAGGAACCCGGUUGCUUUAACGAGCUGCCGGUGGACGCAGGUCGUUUACUUUGAAAAAAUUAGAGUGUUCAAAGCAGGCUAGCGCUUGAAUACAUUAGCAUGGAAUAAUGGAAUAGGACUUUGGUGCUAUUUUGUUGGUUUAUGGGACCGAAGUAAUGAUUAACAGGGACAGUUGGGGCCGUUUAUAUUUCGUUGUCAGAGGUGAAAUUCUUGGAUUUACGAAAGAUAAACUUCUGCGAAAGCAUUCGGCAAGGAUGUUUUCAUUGAUCAAGAACGAAAGUUAGGGGAUCGAAGACGAUCAGAUACCGUCGUAGUCUUAACCAUAAACUAUGCCGACUAGGGAUCAGUGGAUGUCAAUUUGCGACUCCAUUGGCACCUUGUGAGAAAUCAAAGUUUUUGGGUUCCGGGGGGAGUAUGGUCGCAAGGCUGAAACUUAAAGGAAUUGACGGAAGGGCACCACCAGGAGUGGAGCCUGCGGCUUAAUUUGACUCAACACGGGGAAACUUACCAGGUCCAGACAUAGUAAGGAUUGACA
rnacentral:rRNA from 1 species